UUUUUUGUACUGUUUUUUAACAGAUUAUGAUCCCUAUCUACCAUUUUUACUGGAUGCUUGCAAUGAUGAGAGCCCUGAUGUUCGACAGGCUGUUGUUUAUGGAAUUGGAGUUUGUGCAGACUUUGGUGGAUCUGUGUUUAAACCUCUUGUGGAGGUAUCUUUCUUUUUCCUGUGCACCUACCUUGAGGAAUUAUGCCUUUUUAACACCGUCAACCAACACCUGCCUUUUAUUGGCUUGCAGAGGCUCUUUCCAGGCUAAAUUUUGUUAUAAGGCAGCCUAAUGCACUCCAUUCUGAUAAUGUGAUGGCAUAUGACAAUGUUGUCUCAGCUCUGGGGAAAAUUUGCCAAUUCCAUCAUGACAGUAUAGAUGCAGCUCAGUGAGAUGAUAGGAGUUGGCCAUGAUUACAUGGAAGAGUUCUUCGGUUGUUGCGAAUCCGUUUUGGCUGAAGAUGGUUUGUUUGUCCUACAGGUUACAUACUGUCUAUUAUAAUUUUUCUUAAUUGUGGUUUGAUUUGAAUUAUCUGAAAAGAAAGGUGUACCUGUAGUAGUCCAUUCAAAUGGCCCCACUUAGCCAUUUCCUCUUUAUUGAAUUGAAUAGUUACCAAUUUUGUGAAUGGGAUUCUUAUUAAACAAUCAUGUGAAUUAUUUUUUGAAUGACUAUCAGGUGUAAUACUAUUUUGUGAAUGUGAAUUAUUUUUUGAAUGAAUAUCAGGUGUAAAACAAAGGUUACCAAUUUUGUGAAUGUGAAUUAUUUUUUCCUUAUUUUUUAGUUCCAAAGUUAUCUGGGUUUUUUUAGUCUAAUACCAUCCCCUGCACUUGCAUUAAGCACUUCUGUGGGCAUUUUCAAGUUUUGUGUAUUUUACAGCAUACAUGGCUAACUCCAAUGGUGAUGGUUAUAGCAAAAUUGAAGAUGUUAACGCAACUGACAAUCAUGGUUUUUUUUUUUCCCCUCUGCCACUACUUGACAAUCAUUGAAAUCAACUGAUUCAGGUGAGAUUUUACAAGGACAUUGGUAAUGAACUGCACAAGCAUCGGAUUCUUUUCUUCAGUUUGAUCUCUAAAUUCUUGCAUUUUACUACUGACAGUAUUUGUUUUAGUUGCAAUGCAUGUUUGGGGAUCUAUUUAUCUUUUCUUCUAUUCCAUUGUACCUAGAGCUCUUCCUUAGCUCUGGAACUGUUUGCCUCUCUAUUUAUUCAUUGGUUGUUCGGAUGUUUGGCAUGAAUCUCUCAUAUACAUGGAAUCUAAACCAUGGAUAUCUAUUUAAAUGGGUACAUUUUCUCUUUUUCUUUUUUUUUUCUUUCAGAUAGACAAUUUGUGCUUGACCAAACACAUGAUGUUUUCGUAUAUAAAUCAAGUUUCUUCAUAUGGUCCCAAACAGUC